rnacentral:rRNA from 1 species
CGCGUAGGCGGCCGUUUAAGUCAGAUGUGAAAGCCCGGGGCUCAACCUCGGAAGUGCAUUUGAAACUGGACGGCUUGAGUAUGGGAGAGGAAAGCGGAAUUCCUGGUGUAGAGGUGAAAUUCGUAGAUAUCAGGAGGAACACCUGUGGCGAAGGCGGCUUUCUGGACCAAUACUGACGCUGAGGCGCGAAGGCGUGGGGAGCAAACA